CCAGUUGGCCGGGCAGCCGCGCUUUACCAAUGCCGAAAGGCGGUAAGGUGAGGAAAGUCCGGGCUCCACGGAAACACGGUGCCGGAUAACGUCCGGCGAGGGCGACCUCAGGGAAAGUGCCACAGAAAGCAAACCGCCUGUCAAGACAGGUAAGGGUGAAAGGGUGGGGUAAGAGCCCACCGCAUCUCCGGCAACGGAUAUGGCACGGUAAACCCCACCGGGAGCAAGACCGAAUAGGGAUGACGUGGAGGGCCGAAAGGCUCUCCGGCCGGUUUCCAGGCCAGUCAUCCGGGUGGGUUGCGUGAGGCAGCGUGCGAGCGCUGUCCCAGAGGAAUGGCUGCCACGUUCCGGUUCGCGCCGGAGCCAUACAGAACCCGGCUUACAGGCCAACUGGCGAU
rnacentral:RNase_P_RNA from 4 species